rnacentral:misc_RNA from 1 species
ACAAGCGCAGGUCUCAGCCCUGCAAGGCCUUCAGCUGGCUCUUGUCUGUUCAGUAAGAUAGCGAAUACACUCGGGGGGCACCGCCAACCAUGGCGAAGACCAAACGCAGCCAUGCACCGCGGCAGCCGCAUCACAGCGCUGACCCCGCCGCAGAGGCGGCCCCGACGCCGUCCUUCAUCGUCUACCCCGUCCCCAGUAUCGCGGAUGCGUCUUUUCUGCAGAUUAUCUUCUGCAACACGGUGAGGCGGAGCCUCUUCCUCGGCUUCGGCCGAGCCCGUUUUGCCGUGGCGGAGCUCACGAGCGCGGCGGUGGCCGCGGAGGUGGAGACGAUAAUCCACAAGGCGGCCGCCGCUGUCGCGGGUCCGGAAGACGGCGCUGCUGCGUCUCAAGAGGCGAGCGGUCUCGCAGCUGACGCGGCUGCACGGCACGGUGCUCUUGAACACCUUGCCGACGACGAUGCCUUCGAGCACAUGACGCUGGCGGACCUCUUCGCGCCACCACCCGGGUCAUCCCCACAAGGCUCUGCGUCCGCGCCGCGGCAGGAGCGCCAGCCGAGCAGCGGCGGCGCUGCGGCGGGCGGAGAGUCGCUCGACUUCAGCCAUAUUCCAUAUCUCGUAUGGCGUGACAGGCCUGUUCACGUUGUGGUGAGCGGGGUGCGGGUGGCAGACUUCUACGGCAGUGGUGGCGCCGUGCCGGAACACCACGUGAAGCGCACCACCGACGCGGGGGAGCCGCGCAGCAGCACCAAACCGAAAAGGCCAAGCACCGGCAAGCGCACUCGCGACGACGCCGACUCGACGGCCGCACUGUCGUCGUCGCCGGCAGCGAGCCAGCGGGCAGUGGCGGAGGAACGUGCGCAGGGCAGCGGGGCGGUGGAUGCCGCCGUCGUCGCGGCGGCAUCCACCGCGCCCAAGUCGCGCUUCCCAAAGGACCGCUGCCAGAAGUGCGGUAGCGCCGACCACUUCACGCGUCACUGUGACGGCAGCAACGGCGCCAGUGUCGCUGCGGUGGUCAGCCCUUCCGUUGCCGUGGGUGUGGAUAAGCAGCCACGGCACGAGGCUCUCGCUGCUGAGGUGGCUGCGUCGACGCCGCGGCCGGCAAAGGCGAAGCCUCUCGUGCAGCGCACCUCGAAGGAUCAGUGCAAGUACUGCGGCUCCGAGGCGCACCUCUCGCGUCACUGCCCGAGUAAGAGCUAAGAAUCGACAGAGGGUUGCGCAGCUGUUGCCGUCCCAUAUGCGGUGAGGAUCAGCGAUGCAGACGUGUUGAUGCGGCGCUGCAGCCGCUCCACGAGACGGCAGCCGCCCUCGCUUGCAUCGUCUUUGCGUCACGUCUCCCCCACCAUCCUCUCCUCGCAAGCUCCCUCCCCCUCUGGAAGGAGUGGAUGAAGACCACAGUGCGCCUGCUCGGUGCGCCCCGUGCAAGCCGUCCGCACACGCAUCGCUCUCAUGCGGUCGAGGAGCUUGCCACUGGAAGGAGGGCGGGUCUUGCGCAGCAUCCGACAGGCGCACGCGGGGCCCGCAGGCGACGGCCGGAGGAAGGCGCGAGAUCGUGUCCGCUGCUGAGUACCUCUCACUCUCAGGUGUUUGUGGGUUGGUGGGUGGGACGGACAUCCCCACACACCCGACACCUCUCUCUCCUUGACGGGGCCCUCUGCGCGCACGACGGCUGCGAUCGCCUCCUAACAACAGUGAUGCGCCGAUAACGCGCGUCCACGUUAAAAGAAAACG